GAUGAACGCUGGCGGCGUGCCUAAUACAUGCAAGUCGAGCGAACGGACGAGAAGCUUGCUUCUCUGAUGUUAGCGGCGGACGGGUGAGUAACACGUGGAUAACCUACCGAUAAGACUGGGAUAACUUCGGGAAACCGGAGCUAAUACCGGAUAAUAUUUUGAACCGCAUGGUUCAAAAGUGAAAGACGGUCUUGCUGUCACUUAUAGAUGGAUCCGCGCUGCAUUAGCUAGUUGGUAAGGUAACGGCUUACCAAGGCAACGAUGCAUAGCCGACCUGAGAGGGUGAUCGGCCACACUGGAACUGAGACACGGUCCAGACUCCUACGGGAGGCAGCAGUAGGGAAUCUUCCGCAAUGGGCGAAAGCCUGACGGAGCAACGCCGCGUGCGUGAUGAAGGUCUUCGGAUCGUAAAACUCUGUUAUUAGGGAAGAACAUAUGUGUAAGUAACUGUGCACAUCUUGACGGUACCUAAUCAGAAAGCCACGGCUAACUACGUG
rnacentral:rRNA from 1 species